rnacentral:rRNA from 1 species
AUUGAACGCUGGCGGCAUGCUUUACACAUGCAAGUCGAACGGUAACAGGCCGCAAGGUGCUGACGAGUGGCGAACGGGUGAGUAAUGCAUCGGAACGUGCCCAGUCGUGGGGGAUAACUACUCGAAAGAGUAGCUAAUACCGCAUACGAUCUAUGGAUGAAAGCGGGGGACCGUAAGGCCUCGCGCGAUUGGAGCGGCCGAUGUCCGAUUAGGUAGUUGGUGGGGUAAAGGCUCACCAAGCCAACGAUCUGUAGCUGGUCUGAGAGGACGACCAGCCACACUGGGACUGAGACACGGCCCAGACUCCUACGGGAGGCAGCAGUGGGGAAUUUUGGACAAUGGGCGCAAGCCUGAUCCAGCAAUGCCGCGUGCAGGAAGAAGGCCUUCGGGUUGUAAACUGCUUUUGUACGGAACGAAACGGCUCUGGUUAAUACCCGGGGCUAAUGACGGUACCGUAAGAAUAAGCACCGGCUAACUACGUG